AGUAAUAAUCAUUCAUUAUAAUAGAUCUCAGAAAAUAUAUAAAGGAGAUACACAACGAAAGGCAAAGAAACGAUCACAUGGAGAUGCUUGAACAUCCCAGAACUUCAAGUUGCCUCUGUGUCAAAGGCCAGGCAUGGAGCAAUGUGGAAAUCCACUGGCUGUGACCACUGGCUGGAGCCUUGUCCAAGAGGCCCUGCUUAGCUGAGAAGCCUUGGGUCACAUGACUUUGGCUGGUCAAACAGACUACCUAUUGAGGAAGAAGCCAUGGUGGUGGUGCACGUCAGAGGCCACUGACUUAUGAAGAAACCUCUUCCCUUGCCAUACGGCAAGAGAAGAAGCAUCAAUCAAUCAAUCAAUCCUUGCUGAGAUCAGAUAUAGCCACUUUCUUUCAAUACUACAGUUGUCAGAUUCAUAAAAUAAACAGUUUGCUUGA